rnacentral:rRNA from 1 species
AUUGAACGCUAGCGGGAUGCCUUACACAUGCAAGUCGAACGAGUGGCGGACGUGUGAGUAAUAUAUCGGAACGUGCCCAGUAGCGGGGGAUAACUACUCGACAGAGUGGCUAAUACCGCAUACUAUGGGAGCGGCCGAUAUCGGAUUAGCUAGUUGGUGGGGUAAGGGCUCACCAAGGCAACGAUCCGUAGCUGGUUUGAGAGGAUGACCAGCCACACUGGGACUGAGACACGGCCCAGACGCCUACGGGAGGCAGCAGUGGGGAAUUUCGGACAAUGGGGGAAACCCUGAUCCAGCCAUCCCGCGUGUAUGAGAAGGCCUUCGGGUUGUAAAGUACUUUCGGCAGAGAAGCGGUAUCUGCAGAAUAAGCACCGGCUAACUCCGUGCCAGCAGCCGCGGUAAUUC